UAGAUCUACUAGGGGUGCCCUGUAAACAGGCUGAGAGAAAAUGGAGAAAUUUUCAACCCUUCGGACCUGAUCUGGGUAAUACCAGCGUAGGAAAGUAGCCAAGUGAAUGU
rnacentral:ncRNA from 2 species